AUUUCAAACUGGCAGACAUUAGUUAAAAGCCUGUCUAGUCCAUUACUAAUCACAGUACCUGCAGCUUCUUCAUUCAAGGGUCUUCAUUUUGGUGCCUAUUGGAUAUUGUUCCCAUAAAGAAUGAGAAGGGAGAUGUAGUACUCUUUCUGGCCUCUUUCAAAGAUAUAACAGAUACAAAAGUGAAGAUUGCUGUUGAAGACAAAAAAGAAG